rnacentral:lncRNA from 1 species
UAUGUAAAAAGAGAUGCAAUCAAUUUUAUUUUAUGUGAUUCAUGGUAUUAAAUUUAUUUUAUUUGGAGUAAUAGAAUCGCUUAUUUUAUUUGACGUGGGAGGCUUGAGUGGGAAUAAGGACCGCUUUUUAAUGGUUCAUUCAUUUUAAAUUUUACUAUUUUUGUGGCUUAUCCACCGAAUGAUAUCAUACCAGUCAAUUGGAGUUGAUGACUUCUUACUACGCAAGUGGUUAAGGAUUUUUUUUUCCCUUUUUUGAGAAGGCUCUAUCUAUAGUUGGCGUCCUCAUCAUGUUAUAUAUGUAGAAGAAUAAAUUGGAGGAUUAUUACCUCAUUCAAUGGGUUGACUUUGGUGUCAUACUAACAUACAAUGUCCUUUGGAUUUUAGAGACUUUGGAGACUUUGUAAAGUUACUAUUUUUGAGACUUUGUAAAAUUUAGAUUAUAGAGACUACGGUACAAUUGACUAUAUGUAAAAAGAGAGAGAAUCAAUUUUAGUUUAUGUGAUUGAUUAUAGUUGGUAUCAAUUUUAUUUUAUUUGGAGUAAUAGGAUCACAUAUUUGACAAAGUAUAUAUGUGUUUCUUCUUGGGAGAUACUUGAUGGCUUGAUGUGGGAGCAAGGAUUGACUUUCUUAAUGGUUCAAUGGUUUCAAAUUUUGACUUGAUGGCUUGACAUGGGAGCAAUGGCCAACUUUCUUAAUGGUUCAAUCAUUUCAAAUUUUGACUCUUAUCCAAUAAAUAAUUAGGGAUAUAUGAUCAUGAGUUAGUUCGAGUCAAUGACUUCUUACCUUGCUAGUGGUUAGGAUUGUCUAUGUAUAGUUUGAUUCCUAAUGACAUGAUCUACGUGGAAUACUCUAAUUUGGAGGAUUACUACGUCCAUUGAUGUUUUUACACGAAGACUUG